GACAGAGGGUGCAAACGUUGUUCGGAAUUACUGGGCGUAAAGCGCGUGUAGGCGGCUAAGUAAGUCGGGCGUGAAAUCCCACGGCUCAACCGUGGAAGUGCACUCGAAACUGCAUAGCUAGAGUCCUGGAGAGGAAGGUGGAAUGCUUGGUGUAGAGGUGAAAUUCGUAGAUAUCAAGCGGAACACCGGUGGCGAAGGCGGCUUGCUAGGCCAGUUCUGACGCUGAGGAGCGAAAGCGUGGGGAGCGAACAGG
rnacentral:rRNA from 1 species